UACGUAGGGUGCGAGCGUUAAUCGGAAUUACUGGGCGUAAAGCGUGCGCAGGCGGUUUUGUAAGCCAGAUGUGAAAUCCCCGGGCUUAACCUGGGAAUGGCAUUUGGGACUGCAAGGCUGGAGUGUGGCAGAGGAGACUGGAAUUCCUGGUGUAGCAGUGAAAUGCGUAGAUAUCAGGAGGAAUACCGAUGGCGAAGGCAGGUCUCUGGGCUGACACUGACGCUCAUGCACGAAAGCGUGGGGAGCGAA
rnacentral:rRNA from 1 species